CUACCCUGCAUGGUAGUACAGUUGUGCGCUAUGCAGGGGCACCAAAUGAGUGUGGAUAAGGAAAGAUUAAAAUCUAGCCUGUACUCAGCUUGCCAGAAAAGUACCAAAAUACAUAUACCCUGGGAGGGUUGCAGCUCAGAGACACACUUUUCUCUGAUUUGUUUAGGGGAAGAGAGACCCUUCUCAUGGAGAAGAUACUCAGUAAUUUCCCUGGAUGGUUAUUGCCAUUGGACUCCUCAUAACUGCUUUCUACUCCAAGCCUGAACUGAGUUGACAGAACAGACACCGGAUCAAGACUUUCUGCACCACCCACUAUAAAAGAAACAGCUGAAAAGCAGGAUUGUUGUAAUUAUGCCUCUGAACAGUACAGUACACACCUUUCCAAAACCACUCCUUCAUAUACACACACACUCCCUUCCUCCAAUUAAGUUCCUCCCUGACCACUGCAGAAAUUUUCUAAAGAGGGACAGCUGUCUCUUCUAAAGUCUUUAUUGCAUUCCAAUAGCCUUAUCUCCAUUGAAUUUUCUUAGCACUUUAAUUCAUCCUGAAUUUUCUAAGACCUUUCUGCUAUGGAGAAAAUAAGUUUUAGGGGGAUUAAAGAAAAUGAGUUAAAAUUCAGUCAGUCAUCCAGGCAGCCUUUAGAGAUGUUUGCUCUAUCCCAGGUCCUAGCUUCUCAAAUAUGAGUGGGAUCUAGUUUGAGGAGGAAUGUUGUCCUUUCCCUCCCUGAGCCUGCUUUCUUGUACUCAGGUGCUCCAGGAUUUAACUGGUGCUCACAACCUUUUUCGUCUUCACCCACCAUGAGGUCACCAAUAAGUCUUCAGGCUUCCCUAAUCCUCUAGAAACAUUUUACUGUCUGAAACCUACACUUGGCCCUCCCUCCUUUCUUCCUCUCAUGCUUUCCUCUCAUUGUUUUCUCAGCCAACCGCUCUAAGUACAGGGACACUAAGAAGUGAACAUUCUCACAGAACAUCCAGUGAGUUACCAAGCUAUGAAUCCCACCUCCUAACAUUCUGACAGCCCCUGCCCAGUUAGGCCUUGGCCACAGCUCGCUACUGGACC
rnacentral:lncRNA from 1 species